CCUUCGAUAGCUCAGUUGGUAGGGCGGGGGACUGUAGAUCUCUAGGUCACUGGUUCUAAUCCGGUUCGAAGGA
rnacentral:tRNA from 1 species